CAAGUCGAACGGGAUUUUUUCCUGUAGCAAUACAGGGAAAAGUCUAGUGGCGAACGGGUGCGUAACACGUGGGCAAUCUGCCUUAAAGUGGGGGAUAGCUCGGCGAAAGCCGAAUUAAUACCGCAUGUGAUCAGAGGAGGCAUCUUCCCGAAAUCAAAAGUGGCGCAAGCUACUGCUUUUUGAGGAGCCCGCGGCCUAUCAGCUAGUUGGUGAGGUAACGGCUCACCAAGGCUUUGACGGGUAGCUGGUCUGAGAGGACGACCAGUCACACUGGAACUGAGACACGGUCCAGACACCUACGGGUGGCAGCAGUCGAGAAUUUUUCUCAAUGGGGGAAACCCUGAAGGAGCGACGCCGCGUGGAGGAUGAAGGUCUUCGGGUUGUAAACUCCUGUCAUUUGGGAACAAGUGCCGGUACCUAACUGCUACCGGCUUGAUAGUACCAGAAGAGGAAGAAACGGCUAACUCUGUGCCAGCAGCCGCGGUAAUACAGAGGUCUCAAGCGUUGUUCGGAUUCAUUGGGCGUAAAGGGUGUGUAGGUGGCGCCGUAAGUGGGGUGUGAAAUCUCGGGGCUUAACUCCGAAACUGCAUUCCAUACUGCGGUGCUUGAGGACUGGAGAGGAGACUGGAAUUCAUGGUGUAGCAGUGAAAUGCGUAGAGAUCAUGAGGAAGACCAGUGGCGAAGGCGGGUCUCUGGACAGUUCCUGACACUGAGACACGAAGGCCAGGGGAGCAAACGGGAUUAGAUACCCCGGUAGUCCUGGCAGUAAACGGUGCACGUUUGGUGUGGGAGGAUUCGACCCCUUCUGCGCCGGAGCUAACGCGUUAAACGUGCCGCCUGGGGAGUACGGUCGC
rnacentral:rRNA from 1 species